AAGGUAACGGCUUACCAAGGCAACGAUGCAUAGCCGACCUGAGAGGGUGAUCGGCCACACUGGAACUGAGACACGGUCCAGACUCCUACGGGAGGCAGCAGUAGGGAAUCUUCCGCAAUGGGCGAAAGCCUGACGGAGCAACGCCGCGUGAGUGAUGAAGGUCUUCGGAUCGUAAAACUCUGUUAUUAGGGAAGAACAUAUGUGUAAGUAACUGUGCACAUCUUGACGGUACCUAAUCAGAAAGCCACGGCUAACUACGUGCCAGCAGCCGCGGUAAUACGUAGGUGGCAAGCGUUAUCCGGAAUUAUUGGGCGUAAAGCGCGCGUAGGCGGUUUUUUAAGUCUGAUGUGAAAGCCCACGGCUCAACCGUGGAGGGUCAUUGGAAACUGGAAAACUUGAGUGCAGAAGAGGAAAGUGGAAUUCCAUGUGU
rnacentral:rRNA from 1 species